UACGUAGGUGGCGAGCGUUGUCCGGAUUUACUGGGCGUAAAGGGAGCGUAGGCGGACUUUUAAGUGAGAUGUGAAAUACCCGGGCUCAACUUGGGUGCUGCAUUUCAAACUGGAAGUCUAGAGUGCAUGAGAGGAGAAUGGAAUUCCUAGUGUAGCGGUGAAAUGCGUAGAGAUUAGGAAGAACACCAGUGGCGAAGGCGAUUCUCUGGACUGUAACUGACGCUGAGGCUCGAAAGCGUGGGGAGCAAACAGGAUUAGAUACCCCCGUA
rnacentral:rRNA from 1 species